AUUGAACGCUGGCGGCAUGCUUUACACAUGCAAGUCGAACGGUAACAGGCCGCAAGGUGCUGACGAGUGGCGAACGGGUGCGUAAUGCAUCGGAACGUGCCCAGUCGUGGGAGAUAACUACUCGAAAGAGUAGCUAAUACCGCAUACGAUCUAUGGAUGAAAGCGGGGGACCGUAAGGCCUCGCGCGAUUGGAGCGGCCGAUGUCAGAUUAGGUAGUUGGUGGGGUAAAGGCUCACCAAGCCAACGAUCUGUAGCUGGUCUGAGAGGACGACCAGCCACACUGGGACUGAGACACGGCCCAGACUCCUACGGGAGGCAGCAGUGGGGAAUUUUGGACAAUGGGCGCAAGCCUGAUCCAGCAAUGCCGCGUGCAGGAAGAAGGCCUUCGGGUUGUAAACUGCCUUUGUACGGAACGAAACGGCUCUGGUUAAUACCCGGGGCUAAUGACGGUACCGUAAGAAUAAGCACCGGCUAACUACGUG
rnacentral:rRNA from 1 species